AGCGUUGUUAUUUUGCGGUUAAUGCAUGACAAUCGUUUUUUGACAUUGUCUCAUAGAAAAUAUUAAGUUCAUAUACAGACGUACGUAGAUCGCAUUUACUGAAAGGAAUUUCUACGUUUCGUUAUACUAUUUCGCAACAGGAAGAAAAUAUCAGUAAGUCAAGACGGACAUCCCCGAAAGCGCAAUGUCUUCUAGUGAUCUUACAAAAACGAUGGCGGAUUAUACCGCCGUUUGCGAUGCAAAAAUCCCAGAGUGCGAACUCAUGGCACGAGAGGGGAAGCUGCACGAUGCUUUAGACCAGUUGCUGGCGUUAGAGAAACUAACACGAACAAAGCCAGAUAUAAUAUCAACGUCGCGAAUUUUGGUUGCCAUUGUUCAAAUUUGUCUAGAAGCAAGAAAUUGGGCAGCUCUGAACGAACAUAUAGUUUUAUUGACCAAAAGGCGUUCUCAGUUAAAACUGGCAGUCACAAAAAUGGUCCAAGAGUGUUCUACUUAUGUAGACAAAAUGCCAGACAAGGAAACCACAAUAAAAUUGAUAGAAACUCUGCGUACAGUAACUGAAGGAAAGAUAUACGUGGAAGUUGAGAGAGCAAGGCUCACUCAUCGUCUGGCAAAAAUCAAAGAGGAAGAUGGAGAUAUCGCUGGUGCUGCAGCUGUUAUGCUGGAAUUACAAGUUGAGACAUACGGUAGUAUGUCGCGUUUAGAAAAAGCUUCUCUUAUUUUGGAGCAAAUGCGAUUAUGUUUAGCAAAGAAAGAUUUCAUGCGUACUCAAAUAAUAGCCAAGAAAAUCAACGUCAAAUUCUUCAAAGAUGACGACGACGAAGAAACGCAGACCCUCAAACUGAAAUAUUACGACCUGAUGAUGGAAUUAGCGCGUCACGAAGGUUGGCAUCUAGAAUUGUGUAGACACAACCGAGCGGUACUAGAGACUCCAACUGUGAAAGAUGAUCCAAAGAGAAGGCAGACUGCGCUUUCUCGAGCUGUUUUGUAUCUUGUACUCGCCCCUCACGAACCGGAACAAGCUGACUUAACGCAUAGACUACUCGCCGAUAAACUUCUAGACGAGAUACCGACAUACAAAGAGUUAUUACGCCUUUUUGUGAAUCCAGAACUGAUAAAGUGGUCCGGGCUUUGCGAAAUCUAUGAGAAAGACCUCGCUACAACCGAAGUCUUCACGCCUUCGACGGAAGAAGGUCGAGAGCGGUGGGCUGAUCUACGACAUCGCGUUGUUGAACACAACAUUAGGAUUAUGGCAAAAUAUUACACAAAAAUUACGUUAACUCGUAUGGCCGAAUUGUUGGAUUUACCAGUCGAAGAAACUGAAUCGUGUCUCUGCUAUCUAGUCGAAACUGGAGUGAUAAAUGCCCGUACAGAUCGGCCAGCUGGCGUAGUUCGAUUCACCGGAACACAAGAACCAGCUGCUUUAUUAGAUGCUUGGGCUGCUUCUUUAUCGAAAUUAAUGAGCCUCGUCAACCAUACGACCCAUCUUAUUCAUCAAGAAGAAAUGCUGGCUGUUGCUCAAUCCUAAAAGGCUCUUAAAACUUCAUCAAGCGGAUACAUCGCGAUACAUUAUUACCCGUUAACGCCUUAUUGUUACAGAUGACGAGCUUUUCAUCUCGACCAUCGUUAACGUCCAAUUUAUACACAAAUAAAAAUAUGCACGUACAAACGUACUUGUUAAAUUUUGUAACGUACAGUGUAAAAAUAUUUAUACACGCAACGCGUAUUACUCGGACUAGAAUACCCUAGCUUCCAUACAAGGCAAUUUAUCUUUGAUUAUAUUUCGAUUCUCGCAACCAAAUAGAAUUUCAUACCGUUGCAGAACUCUCGUUAUUUAGAAGUGUUACGUAUCAGAGGUACUGAACAUUCGAAAAAAAAAUAUUAUUUCGAAUGCA